GACGAACGCUGGCGGCGUGCUUAACACAUGCAAGUCGAACGGACAGAUCCUGCUUUUGUGGGGUUCUCGAUUGGCGAACGGGUGAGUAACACGUGAGUAACCUGCCCUUGUCUUUGGGAUAACUUCAGGAAACUGGGGCUCAUAUCGGAUAGGAUCUCCUGCUGCAUGGUGUUGGUUGGAAAGUUUCGGCGGUUGGGGCUGGACUGGCGGCUUAUCAGCUUGUUGGUCGGGUAGUGGCUUACCAAGGCUGUGACGGGUAGCCGGCCUGAGAGGGUGACCGGCCACAUGGGGACUGAGAGAGGGCGCAGACGGCAACGGGAGGCAACAGGGGGAAAUAUGACACAGUGAGCGGAAGCGGGAGGCAGCAACGCCGGGUGCGGGAUGACGGGCUUCGGGUUGAAAACCGAUGUCGAAGGUGACGAAGAGUGAGUGACGGUAAUGGGUAAAGAAGCACCGGCUAACUACGUG
rnacentral:rRNA from 1 species